GAAGCAGCUAUAAAAUGGGAGAAAGACUGGCUCAUGUCUUUCCACCCGGACAAAUGUAACAUCCUUAGAGUAUCAACAAAGAAAAAACAAAUACAUUUUUAUUACAACAUGCAUGGUCAUAUCUUAGAACAAGUUCAAUCUGCAAAAUAUUUAGGCAUUACACUUUCUUCAGACCUCAAAUGGAACAAACAUAUUCAACAAUCAGCAGCAAAAGCAAACCAAUCAUUAGCAUUCAUCAGACGUAAUCUAAAAAUAAAUUCUAAAUUAGUUAAGGAAAGAGCAUACCAAACAUUAGUUAGACCAAAAUUAGAAUACUGCUGUACAGUUUGGGAUCCAUACACCUCAGAAAACAUAUAUAAGUUGGAACAAGUACAAAGAAGAGCUGCAAGAUAUACUUGCAACAGAUAUCACAAUCAGCGUGUAUCUGAAAUGAUAGAACAUCUAAAAUGGCAAUCCUUACAAGAACGCAGACUAAAAACCAGACUCCAAAUGUUGCACAAAGUCAUCAACAAUGAAAUUGCAAUACCAUCGCAAGAUAUACUCAUAAAAAGCCAGUCUAAACAAGAAACUACCCAUCAACAGACAUACAGACAACUUCAGUGUAAUAAAGACACCUUUAAAUUUUCUUUUUUCAGCCAAACAAUCAAAGAUUGGAACAAAUUACCACCCGAUAUCUCAAACCAAACCACUACAGACAACUUUAAGGAUGCACUCACUCAUGAGGUGCUCCUUAAAACAUACUCUCAUCUGAACUAAAUGUGCUUAUUGUUUUUAUCUUAUAGU
rnacentral:lncRNA from 1 species